rnacentral:lncRNA from 1 species
GAGAGGAUGAGGUAGAGGUCGUUACCCUUGAGGUUGGCAAGGGAAGCCGGUAUCUUCCCGGUGAGCUGGUUACGGUCGAGGCCGACGUAGCCGAGGCCGGGGAUGGUGGAGAGAGAGUCGGGAUGCUGCCGGUAAGCUUGUUGAAGGAGAGGUUGACGUAGGUGAGGUUCUUGAGCUGGCCGAGGAAGGAGGGGAUUGGGCCGGUGAGAUUGAGCCAGCUGAGGCUCAAGAAAUUAAGGUACUUGAGCUUGAUGAAGGACUCUGGGAUCGGGCCGGUGAAGUUGGAGAGCUUGUGGAGGGUGAGGGAUUGGAGGUAAGUGAGGUCGCCGAUGGCGGAGGGAAUUUGGCCGGGAAGGUCGUAGGCGAGGAAGAAGAGGGAUAUGACGCGGUGGGUCUUGUAGUGGCACUUGAGGCAGUACCAGUAGCAGCAGUCGGCGUCCGGGUCCCAGGAGGCGAGGAGGUAGGGGUUGUUGAGGGAGGACUUUAUGCGGAGGAGGACCUCCUUGUCCUCGGGGUGGCACAGGAUGGCGGAGGCGGGGCGGAGGAGGAAGAAGGAGAGGAGGAGGCGGGCCAGAGACAUCGUUGAAGGUGGUGGUGGGGGGGCAUGAGUUUUGGAUGAGUGAGGAAGGGUGAGGAAGGAGGAGGCGUGGAGAGUUGUAAUUUAUAGGAGGAAGUCGUGGUUCGUCCGGGAGCCAGAAAAUAUUAGGUGCGCCGGGCGCUCCACGUCACCGUGCGCCCCGCCCAAUCAGGAUACGACACAUGUCGACACGUGGAGCCGGGUCCCACUUUUAUUUUUAGUCAAAUUUUUGCCGCGUCCUUCUCCCGCCCUUCGCAUUUGAAGUGCCCUUUCUCUUCUGUCUUCUCCCGCACGAAGUCUCUCUCACAAAAAUCUUUCUCCGCCUCCUUCGACACCGACGAUCAGCACCGCCCGAGCGCCCUCCUCGUCCGGCGGUACUCGAUCUCGCCGCCGCACGCGCCUCCUCGCGCCUCGCAGCUCCGCUGGCCUCCAAGGUCGCGCUUCGAGCCGCGAAGUCGCGGAAGUCGUUGNNNNNNNNNNNNNNNNNNNNNNNNNNNNNNNNNNNNNNNNNNNNNNNNNNNNNNNNNNNNNNNNNNNNNNNNNNNNNNNNNNNNNNNNNNNNNNNNNNNNCCUUCGACGCCAACGACCAGUCGACACGUGAGCCGGGUCCCACUUUUAUUUUAGUCAAAUUUUUGCCGCGUCCUUCUCCCGCCCUUCGCAUUUGAAGUGCCCUUUCUCUUCUGUCUUCUCCCGCACGAAGUCUCUCUCACAAAAAUCUUUCUCCGCCUCUUUCGACACCGACGAUCAGCACCGCCCGAGCGCCCUCCUCGUCCGGCGGUACUCGAUCUCCGCCGCCGCCACCGCCGCCUCCUCGCCGCCCUCGCAGCUCCCGCUGGCCUCCAAGGUCCGCGGCUUCGAGCCGCGGAAGUCGUCGUCGACCUCCGCCUCCUUCGACGCCGACGACCAGCACCAGCCGAGCGCCCCCCUCGUCCGGCGGUACUCGAUCUCCGCCGCCGCCCUCGCAGCUCCUGCUGGCCUCCAAGGUCCAGCGGCUCGCGGACAAUGUCCAGGUUUUUCCGAAACUCUUCGAUCGUCUCUCGCGCUCUGUUUUGGCUCCCGAUUAAGUUGGGGGAUUUGCCUGUUUCGAAUUUUUGCUUCUUGCUUCGGUCGAUUCCUUCUCUGUUGCCGAACUCUGAGAAGAGCGAUUUCCGGAUGCAGCUUGCGAGGCAGGAUUACUUGGAGCUGAGACAAGAGGCGAGCGAAGUGCAGGAGUAUUCCAACGCGAAGCUCGAUCGAGUGACGCGCUACCUCAGCGUUCUCGCAGACAAGAUGCGGAAACUAGGUGAGGCGGUGCGGCGUCUGUUGUGCCUCGACGCACGUUUGCUUUCUCAUUUCGGUUUUUGACAGGUUCUGUGCUUUGUGUCAGAUCAAGUCGCCCUUGAAGGUGAGGCUAGGAUAGCACCGCUCGUCAGUGAGAAAGAGGAAGUUGUUCAAUGAGUUGUUGAAAUCCAAAGGUCAGUCUUUGGUUUCUUAAUUGAGUUCUCCCACUUUCCACACGAAGCACGUGGAGUGGAAGUACUUGGAUAUGAGCUGAUAAUUCAGAAAAUUUAUUGUUUGAAUUGCAAUUCAUUUUCGGGAUGAUGUUCCUGUUGGAUGGAUGGGUAGAGAUAGCUUGCUUGUAUGGCAAUUUUGCAGUGUGUAGUAGGAGAACAAAACUUGAGUUUAACGAGUAAGAUCGAGUUGGAAUAUGACUGAUAGAGUUUUAGCGAUGAAGUGCAGAUUAACUUGAGAUAACAGUUGCCAGUUUGUCAUGCAUUUCUGAUCGUUGUUAGUCUGAAAAAUUGAGCUGUUUGUUAGUUAAGGACUCAUUAUGCCUCAUAGAUUCGUUAAUCUGUAAAUGGAGACCAGAUAUCAAGAACGAAAAUGAUUUUUUACUCUCUAUAUGUCUUCUCCUUCUAGAUCAGUCUGAUACUUUGAUUGAUGGUUACAUAGAAAUUGAAUCUCUUGGAUUAAACUUAUGGAAGAACUCCCAAGAAAUAUGGUUUCACUAGAGCAAUUAUGACCUGGAAGUCAAUCCGGGGCAAGUGUUCGGAUCUAUUAUGACAUAGCCAUGAGGCGCGCAACGGACCUUUUUAAUCUUCUACAACCUUUUCCGGGCUUUAAAUUGAUGCAAAAAACAUUUUUUUGUGCAACCUAGUGUAAGUGUAUUUAUUAAUAUCUCAAUUCAAAGUUUCUAGACAUCGCUACUUUAUGUCUUACAUUAGAGAGAACAUGUAUAUAUUAAUUAUUUAUAUUAAUUAUUAUAUUAAUUAUCAUUAAUUUCCAUUUGGACUCCUUUCACAUCAUCAAUUCACCAUUGAUUGCCCAAUCACUUGAUUGGUCGACCUAAGUUAUACUAAUAGUGUUUUAAGUGAGAAGGACAGAUCAUCUUCAAGCCAUUUGGUUGGCUAUGAGUGCAGGAGGUGCACACACGUUAAUUAACUGUUUGGUUUAGAAGUUGGGCUAUUUGUUAGUUAGUUGCUGAGGGACUAUAGUUCAAUUGGUUACUCUCUAAUGGAAGCACAGAAAUCGAUCAAGAUAGGGAAUUCCUCUGUUCUUUGUGUGCUCUCUUCUCUUACUAUAAUAAUUUGUUUCAACAGCUCUUCUCUUCAAUUUCCAGUCCUCCCUUUUUGAGGCUGUACGAAGUUUUUUGGUCAGAAAUUUAUGGGUAUUUUCCUUUCCUAUGAUGAUUUGAAGAUGCUUUUAAUUUCAGGGAACAUAAAGGUAUUCUGUCGUUCGAGACCAUUAUUUGAAGACGAAGGUCCCUCUGCUGUAGAAUUCCUUGAUUACUAUCUGUGUCGACACUAGUGAUGAGACCAGUACCAAUCCUAAGAAAGAUUAUGAAUUCGAUAGGGUGUAUGGACCUCAUGUUGGACAGGGUGAGCUAGAAAAUGAUUAAUUUUGUUACAUAACAGGCAGCAUUUGAAAAUUUUUUGGUACAUACUAGCUACAUGGCUGGUGGUUUGCAUGGAGGUUUGUUAUCUUACGGUAGGACUGGUGCAUGUGCAGCUGAUAUAUUUAAUGAUGUUCAACUGUUGGUUCAAUCAGCUUUGGAUGGAUUUAAUGUGUCAAUAUUUGCUUAUGGACAAAGUAACUCAGGAAAGAUGCACACUUGAAAAUUUUUUGGUACAUACUAGCUACAUGGCUGGUGGUUUGCAUGGAGGUUUGUUAUCUUACGGUAGGACUGGUGCAUGUGCAGCUGAUAUAUUUAAUGAUGUUCAACUGUUGGUUCAAUCAGCUUUGGAUGGAUUUAAUGUGUCAAUAUUUGCUUAUGGACAAAGUAACUCAGGAAAGAUGCACACUAUGGUCUCUCUCUCAAACAUGCUCCCAUUGAAUAUUAUCUCCCUAUGAGCUAAAUAUCCAAAUAUUUAAGGAGCUAAAAGUUCUGCUGCUUGCAUUUCUUAGAUCUUAUUGUCAUUGGUUUGAUCUUUGGCAAUCAUAGUUAUCUGAACGGGGGCCUUUGUAACAUUAUGAUGAACCACGUUCACCCACCAUGUCAUUCCACAAAAUUCUGAUAUGGAAGUUGACAUGAUGGUGUUUUUUGAUGCUUUUCAGGAAGGAUCUAGCCAUGAUCGUGGUCUGUAUGCUCGUUGUUUCGAGGAGUUCUUCGAUUUUGUGAAUUCAGAUGCAACUGCUACAUCUAGAUAUGACUUUUCUGUCACAGUUUUUGAACUCCACAAUGAACAGGUUUCUUUUCUUUUUUACUCACCAUAAAUAGCUUCAAGUUAGGUGUUUUGAAUGUGUACGUCUUGUCUUGAUGUAAUCGUGCUUCCACAUGCUUAUUUAUGUAGGUACGAGAUUUGGUGCAUGAAUCAGGAAGGAAUUCAUCGAAAAUCUGCAUGGGAUCUUCGGAUUUUUUUGUCGAACUUACACAGGAAAAGGUCGACAAUCCAUUGGAUUUUCUGAAGGUUCUGAAAGACGCAUUUCAAAGUCGAGGAAAAUGAUGUUUUGAAGUUCAAUAUUUCUCACUUGUACGGUUUGAAUUCCACGCACCCUCUCUUGUUGCUUUUCUGGGUUUUGUGCUUUCUUGAUAUAUUAUGAUGACAAUGUUAGCUAGAAACUUCAUUUUGCUGAAGGGUGAAUAACUGUGCAAUUUUUUCUUUUUGAAAGAAUUCAAAAAUAAUUCGUGAGGAUACAAAGAAUGAAAAAUAAAUUUGAGCAAUUAGUACAGAUAUACCGUAAUGUCUACUAUUAUCAAUUACCCUCUUAAACAGAUUCAAUUGAUUGUGGUGCCAAGCUUCUGAAAUGAACAAUAAUGUUUUCCUUAGAUAUUAGGAACAGCAUUUGUUCAUACCUUUCGUAAUCAGAGUUUCAAGCCCCUCUUGGCUGCUUUAUCAUCAUUAGAUGGAUUAGUUUGUUUGGCUGAAAUUAUUUAUAGGUAUUGCAUGGAAGAGGAUGCUACUCAACCUAGUUGUUUACUUUUACUUUCAGGGAGUACCACACCUUGAUAAUUUUAGGAGAGGAUUUUUUCUUUUACUUUUAAAGCCAAAGCUGAACACUAGCGAUACACAUGAUAAUUACAAAACGUUAUACUUGAUUAAGUACACGGCAGUGACCUCUAACCCUCCCAUGCCCAAGCCAUUGUUCAGUUUUAAUUGAUACUUUUUGAUGUAUUCUCCUGUUAUAUAAUCAGGAUCGUGACAAUCCAUAUAUCCUACAACAACUUGGUUACUGGAGAAAACCUGUAUAGCAAGCUUUCUCUUGUUGAUUCGGCCUCCUUUUACUCAUGGGCUAAAGUGAAAGGCAUUUGACUUGUCUGCUUCCUCUAUUGUUUUCAUGGGCUGUAUUGGCUUUUCAUAUGUGGAGGCUUUUGCUCCAUUGACUAAGUUUUUUUCUUAUAUUUUUGGGUGAUUAUGCAAGGUGCUCUUCAGUUUACUUCUUUCUUUUGGUAACGAUACUUUCUCAGAUUUUUGACAUGCUUAUCAUUCUUUUUAGAUAUCAAGUCCAUUAUCGAAAGGAACCGCAAACAUGCCAUCUCGGUACGUUUCUGAGAUGAAACUUGCUUUUUGUGAUUCUAGCCUACACCAUGUUUCACACUGUCCAUUCUUCCAUUGUCGGUUUUUCCAGGACAAGUAACAAUGAUGUCGGACGUACUCUGGAUGUUGUUCCUUCGCCAUUAAGUGCUGAAAAGUCUGCCGGUUCAGUUGCUCUGGUCAAAGCAAGUUCUGAGAAAGUUAAAACUAAGACCUGCAGGAGAAUACCUGACUGCAGGUGCUGCGUGAGGCAAAAUGCUGCUCGGAACUGCUCUAAAACUUGAGAAAAACAAGCCUGUAAUCCCAAAAAAGGACUAACUGUUGCCAAAAGUCGAGAGAGUUCUCUUCAAACAAGACCAAGCCAAUGUCAUGCUUCUACACAAGAUAAAACAUGUUGGAUUUAUUUCUUUCUCGGAAUUUGUAUUGUGAACGCAAACAUGUGUCCUAUUAGCUUAGUAGUUGAAGUAUGAAUUGUAAACAUUAGAAGGAUGAAAUAUUCAUUUGUUAAUGUAAGUAAAUUUCAUCUUGGUUUCUUUACUUACUUUGUGUAACAAGAGAUUCAUUUGUCAAUUGCAAUAUGAGGAGAAUUUUGAUAUUUAAUUUAUGAAUGUGUUAUCUACAUGAAGACUUUUCAUGGAGGAGAGAAUUCAAUAGUUCAAGAGAAUAAAUUAUAAAUUCAAAGUGCAAUUUCAAGAGUUGAUCUCCGUCGUAUGUUGUUCAACUUGUUCUCACAUUAACUCAUCUUUCAUUUGGGGAAAACGCCAAAUUUGCACAAAGAAGUGAGUGGCAUCAAUGUGAUUCAAAAUUCAAAGUGCCAAGUUUCAACAGGAGUUAAUAAUCACAUUAUGAACGAAAUUGUUCAUUACAUCAAGUCUUGUGUAUUGAUUUAACAAGGGAAUUGAUAUCAGGUUAAACACUUCAUAAAUCUGCAAGAGUAACUCCACAUUUAGAAGCUCAACCACAAGUUCUGGGAAAUCUAUGCCACAUUGGCAGGACAAAUGAAACAGGGAGCUUGAAGAUAAUGACCAUGGAAGUAGAGAAGAAGCAGGACAUCGGGAACACCAUGUCUCCUGAUUGAUUAUCCUUGGUUGAUCACUUUCUUCUUUAUUAAUGACAAGCACUAUUCUCUAAUAACAAAGUUAAUUGAAUAAGCAUUGAACCAACAUGAAAAAGCCAUUCAUAUUUAUCCAAGGCUCGGAUGUCACCAAAACAAGGAUCGCUUGCAAAUUCGGAUGCCGGGAAUAUCCUCCAAACCCAUUUUCAGUGCUGUCUUUCGGAAUAGCACAAGAGGAUUUUUCAAACCAAUGGACUUGCAAAAUCAGUUGGCUAGCUCCACAAGUGUUGUUUUGUCCCUCCCAAUCUCCCUGAUCGAGUUAUAGUAGCCAAAGCCAAGCAUGGUAUGCUGCUUCUUUAAAACUAGUAACAACAGUAAAACCUAUGCCAAUCAAAGCAACUGCACCAUCGUGCAUGUGAAUGAACAUAAGUGACUUGAGUUUGCAUUAAAACCUGCCACAUGCUUAUUGUAGAACGAAGAAAAUAUACAAAGAAGCUUCUUAAAACAGCAUAUUGUCAUAUUCAACUAGAUAAUUGAUGCGUUUAGACAAUGGGAACUUGUUUGGUGCCCCAUCAACAAUUAAGCAAAACACCAACCAAAAAAAAAAAAAAAUGACAAUAGGUAAAAACAUCAUCUAACCGUAGUCCACCUCAUAAGUAGUAAGAAAUUGAAACAUUGAUUCUUUGCUUUUCAUUAACACAAAAGAUGCAGCUGAAAAUCUUACCCAAAAAAAGAUGCAGCUGAAAAAAAAAUCAUCUCAUAGCAAUACUCACCGUCCAUCAUGGCCAUCAAAAUGCUCGAUCCAAUCAGGCAAAUGCUUUCUAGCACUUUUCCUUCAGGCUUGUUCAAAUUGAGGCGGCUCAUCUAGAUAGUCACAACGUUACAUAUAUGAACUAUAUGAAUGAACCUUUUUUAGGAAUCCGGCAACAAUAAGAAGAUCAAUAACUUCGUUUAGAUUGUGUAGAGUCUGCAUAGUAUUGACCUUACCAUUAGAAUUAAGCUUCCUAGUAACAGCAUGGCCCUGCAGAAGUAUUGCUACAAGUCUUGGAUGACCAACACCCCAUCCGUGCUAGGGUGUUGGUCAUCUCUUGAAUAUGCCUUUUAAAUAAACCAUGCCCUUCUCACUGAGCUGAAACUCCUUCCUCAUCUGCUCAACUUGCUGAUCAAUCCCCUGAACAACGAUCUCCAAUAGCGUCUAGUCUUCCGCCACUAUCAUCUUUACCUUAAUUAGCUCCUUCCUCAUUGCUCACCUCCAUAUCAAGGGUUUAGCCUAUUCACACAUGACUUCCACUCUUCCAAGAUGAGGAACACUAGAACUCAAACUCUUCAAUGGAAAACAAUCUUCAAUUACGCUAAGGGCCUCAAUGCAGUGAUCCAAAACCAGUUUUUACGAAUGUCCAGAACAGUUAUUGUAGGAAUCAGGCCAACGCUAGCAAGGCCAAUGCAGGAGCAAAAUGUCAGCAAUGCUGCUUGCCCUUGGCUUAGAGUCAUGAUCCCUUCAAACCUUUAAACAAGAACAUGAAGCAAAUUAAAUAGCAGCCCUUUUAGAACAGAGCAUCAUGCGUGGUUUGCUUUCAUUUGCACUAACAAUGGUGGCAAAAAACUCAUAAGCAGACACGCUUCCCCCUCCCGGCAGCCCCCGAAGAGCAUUUUGUACCAAACCCAUCACCACCAAAGAGGAAAGAAAAAAUACCAAUGUUCAUGAAUCAAAGCAAGUAAGGUAUAGUGAAUUGGUCGAUGCAGAUAAGGAAAAAAAAAUGAAGGAUGAUAACAUCAAAUUCAAACGUAAAUAUUCUCUUGUCAUAGGUUGCUUGGCCUCAUAAUCUGUUGAUCACAUUUUCUCCCCUUUUUAGUUUGCUGCAUAGCUUUCAUUACCGUGUGGCAACAUCCAUAUUACGAAGUUACUCAAUGUCUAAGGAAGUUAUUUAACCUGGACACAAGAUGUAAGGUGAUCAUUCUAACCCAUUUUCUAUCCCUCCCAGAAAAAAACAGACAGACACUCUCAUUUCAAAUUUUACAUACUAGGUGAUGUCAUAAACUAUAAGUGCUCCAGCGACUCCUCUAUAUUAAGAUCUAAUGAUGGAUCUGAAAGAAUUCCUGUCCUACUUGUAAUUAAAAAAAAAAACAUUCAAACGAGUCAUGAGCAAUGCUUGUGUAACCAUACGGACAUUUAUAUAGUGCAUUAUCUCAAAUUCAAGCGUUUCUGAAUUCUUUCACAAACUCCGUACGUAUAAAAGUAAAUCACUGGAAAUGUGGAGAAAUGGGUUCCAUCUCAAGCACUCUCUGCUAGCCAAAAUGGAGAGGGAGUAGGUGUCACUGGCUUCUCUCUGCAUCUCUCUGUCUUUGACGUGCUUAAUGGCACAUGUUAUAUCAAUCAAGUUCAAAAUUUUCCUAUUGACUGCAAGUAAAAGGUACAUCAUGUCCCUAAACUAGGAUUGAGUUUCCCACAAUGACAUAUAUCCUACCAUGAUAAAUCUAAACAUACGCCACAGACAACGGGUUUGAAUUGCUAAAAAAUACAGGCUCAACUUUGCAGGUUCAUCCCACUUAAAUUUGCUCAGAUACUUGAUAUUCCAGAGAUCAUAAUAAAAUGAGGAUCCAACCUCAUUGGAAUUGAACCUCAUCACAACCAUAGGGAAAUGGAUGGCUCCAUACCUAUCGAUGACCUUAACCUCCAUGUUGGGAUCAAACCUCCUCAUCACAACCACAGCGUACACCCUAACGACAACAGUCCCAAGACAGAGACGGCCAUAUAUGUGAAAAAUUGGCAGGACAAGGACAACCAAAUAUACAUUCUUGGAGUUCGGGUACUCGUACUAAGAAACUUCGAACCUUGCAAAGAGCUCGCACAUGGCGAUGAAAUUACCAUGUGUGAGCACAACCCAUUUGCUCACGGCCAUAGUGUUGGAUGAGUACACUAUAGACCCAGCACAGAAGCACCAACGAUGAAUGCGGGGCGGGAUGAGGAAGCACCAGAAGCACCAGUGAUGUGCUGGAGGCGGUGGAUCUGAGCUCGGCUGCGACGAGCGAACUCUUGGGAGGGAGAGAUUUUCGAAAGAGGGCUUCAUGCGGCUUGAGGGAGUGGCGAUAGCGGAGGCGGAGGCGAUGUGUCAAAGGCGGCGGAUCUGAGCUCGGGUGCAACAAGCGGGCUUCUAGGAGGGAGAGAUUUUUUAAAGAAGGCUUCGUGCGGCUUGAGGGAGUGGCGAUGGCGGAACUCGAGAUGCGACGGGCGGGCUCCUGAGAGAUAUUUGAAAGAGGGCCUCGUGCAGCCUGAGGGAAUGUCUCCAGGACAGCGGAGGCGUCGUGCCGGAUGCGAUCGGCGGGCUAUUGGGAAGGAGAGAUUUUUGAGAGAGAGAGACUUCGUGCGGCUUGAUGGAGAAGACAGAGAAGAGAGAGGGCACUUCAAAUUCGAAGGGCGGGAGAAGACAGAAAAGGACGCAGCGAUUAAUGAAGAGAGAGAAGGAGAAGGCAAAAAGAGGGACCCAGGCUCCAGGUGGCGACACGUUUCGCAUCCUGAUUGGGCGGGCGCACCUAAUAUUUUCUCGUGAGGGAGGGAGAAGGGGAGACAGACUUGUGGGGCCUUUUACGACACGUGUCGCAAAAUAAAUGGACUCGUUUUUGGCUGAGUUGGCCUCAGAGCUGCGGUUAAUAUUUUCUCAUCUAUUAGCCCCCACUGGCAGAGCGAGCAGCGGUGUCCAAAUCUUGAAAGGACAUGUUGGAAAUGCACAUGCAUGAGUUUUGGAGUUUUAACUCCGCCUUUGAUUAUACUCGAAAUGGACGUGUUAAGCUAUAUUACGUGGAAAGUCAGUCCAUCAUUCUUUUUCAUAGGUUUAAAAUUUGAAUCUUUUUUUUUUUUUUUUCAGGUUUAAGAUUUGAACCCCCUUUUUAAAUAAAACAUUCGAGCAUAUAAGGAAUCCCAAUAAUGUCUGAUGGCAAAUGCUACGGAUGGAAAGAGUUUCUUUUUCUUUUCUAAAAAAAGAAAUUUCUUUACUUCCUACACCUUGUAAUGAAAAUAUAAUAAAAUCAUAUUUGAUUUUAUGGACAAAGCUGUUAAUUUGUGGUCGUAGAGUUUAAUAAAAGAACAAUCAGAUCAUCAGGUCAUGUUUGUGAGUCGCGUUGUUUGCAUUGCAAAAUAAAUUAGCUUGAAGCCUGACAACCACUCACGUGGAGUGGAGUGGAGUUAAUGAGAAAAUAUAUUAGGUGGUUCCGGAUCACCAGGUCAGCGUGGUCUCCAACCACUCAGGAAGCGACACGUGGAGGUGUGGGACCUGCUCACCAGUAAACGAAUUUAUGCACAAAAUUAAUUUCAUUUCUCUCUCAGUAACCUGCACACACUAGCUCCAUAUGCUCUCUCUCUCCUGCUCUGCACACAUUUCUUUCUUUGUCUCAUAUUCUCUUUCCUCUUCGUACUUUCCUUGUUUGAAGAAGAAGAACGAAGAGCAAACCUCUUUCCUUUCUACCGAAUGCUCUCAAAAAUUGAAUCUCUUCCUUUGCUCUUAGAUUUGACUGAUUCGCGCUUGUUGUUGCUCCGGCGUUCGUCAAACGGCCGCUCCCCUACCGUCGCCGACAAAUCACAUUAAGGCCGCCCCUCGCGCGCUCGAAAGGGAGUGAGGCAGAGGCAGAGGGGCCGAUGACCGCCCUCAACAGAGCUUCGGGUUCUCAAAGUUCUUCGGGAGCAAGUAUGAGCUUGAUAUCAUUCCUAACAAAGAGAACCCGAAUGAAAACAAUGCAGAAUCACCAAAAGUCAGUAGUUUCUUCGACCAAUUUAUAGUUUUUGGAGGUUUCAAAUAAUUGAAAAUAAAAUCCCCGAGAGCUUCAAAAGCAGAUGGAACUUUUAAAAAGCAUUCUGUCUCCAGAUAAGUUCAGAACGAAUGCGCUGCGAAAAGUUUCUUAUUCUUCCCCUCCCCACUUCUCUUCUGCUGUUAAAAUAGAUGCGAAAGCAUAAUUUUUUUUUUUUUUUUUUCUAUGGUUGGAGAAGUUGCUGCAAAAGAGAGAUAGAGUAUCGAUACAGACGAACACUCUGCGGAUCUAGUUUCGUCUGGUCCACAAGAUACCAAUACACCAUUUCACUUGGAAUCUGUCAUGUGAGAUUAACUAAUAACUCUAUUCAUUUGACAUCGCCAAGAAUAAAAGUAUAGUUAGUGUGUGGCGAGAAAGGGAAAAAAGGCCAGACGCAAAAGAAGAAACCGCCAUUUGAGCACCACACAAGUCAGAGCUUUUCGAUUCCCCAUUAUCAAACACAACCAUCUAAUAAAAUCUUCCGUAGAAGCUUACAUAGAAACAUGCGCUAACAAGAAUGGAGUUAGCACAAUUUAAAAGCCAAGAGAAAAAGAAAAAAAUAAAAGGGCUAUGUUAAAUGUUGCCAAACCAUUUUCUAUAUACAACCAAAUCAUCGUCUAAAAUCCCGUCCCCUACACAGCACCGACCCCCUUCUUGGCCUUCUUCACCAGCAGCUUCACGCUUUUCGGCUUCUUCACCGGUUUCUUCUUCACCUUCGCGGCAGCAACCUUCUUUACAGCUUUCUUCCCGGGCAUCGCCUUUGCAUAAGUCUUCACUGCUUUUGCUGCGGGCUUCAACUUCAGCUUCUCGGCUUCACACCCGUCACAGCUUUCUGCUUCAUAGUUGCUUUGGGCUUGGCGGCAGCAACAACGUUCGCCUUGGGUGCCACCGCCUUCGUUACAGUGGAUUUCAAAUUUUGGCCCUUAACUAUCACCAUUCGUAAAUGUUAGUUAACCGUUCUUGAGUAGUAAAAUUGCACAAGAACUAGCGGUGGCAAUCGGCGAUGGACAGCGAAGUGAGAUAGAAGCCAAACGAGUUGCACAGGAGACAGAGCGUGCAGGCUAGGAGGAGAGAGUGCGUCGGCAGGCUAGGAAGAGGAGAGAGAAUGGGAAGAAGGCAGAAGACACCAAUUUCCCAAGUGAGGCCACCCCUCCACAUGGCACCUCAUGAGUGGCCGGGGACCACGCUGAUGUGAUGUGGAGUUCCCGGACCACCCAAUAUUUUCUCGUCUAGGAUCAGCCAAUAUUUUCUCCUUUUGUUUUCUGAUAAAAGCAUGGUUAUUGAAAUAACGCAAGUUUACAAACUGGUCCGCUCAAAUCUUAAAGAUCGGCUAGGCUCAGUUCUGUUUUUCACUUGCAGCUAUCAAGAGGAGCACCGCACAAGCACCGGUUGUGGAAGUACACCGUGUAAUCGAAGCUCUGCAACCGCCCGCCCACCGGAAUCUCCCCGCACAGCCGGUUGUAGCUCACGUUCAGGAACUGGAGACUCUCCAUGGCCGUUGGAAUGGACCCGUAAAUCUUAUUAUGGUUCAUGUCCAGGGUCUGCAGGCUCCCGUUAAAAUCCACCUUCGACAGGUCGAACUCGAACUGGUUCCUCGAGAUGUCGAUGUGGUACGUGCUCUUGUUCCUUCCGAGCACCAGCGAUGCGUCCCCUUGAAGCCUGUUCCGGGAAAGGUCGAGCUUCCCGAAGUCGACGCCGGCGAAGGUCGCCGGGAGCUCCCCGGAGAGGCUGUUGUGAGAGAGGAUGAGGUAGAGGUUGUUACCCUUGAGGUUGGCAAGGGAAGCCGGUAUCUUCCCGGUGAGCUGGUUACGGUCGAGGCCGACGGUGCCGAGGCCGGGGAUGGUGGAGAGAGAGUCGGGGAUGCUGCCGGUAAGCUUGUUGAAGGAGAGGUUGAGGUAGGUGAGGUUCUUGAGCUGGCCGAGGAAGGAGGGGAUUGGGCCGGUGAGAUUGAGCCAGCUGAGUCUCAAGAAAUUCAGGUACUUGAGCUUGGUGAAGGACUCUGGGAUCGGGCCGGUGAAGUUGGAGAGCUUGUGGAGGGUGAGGGAUUGGAGGUAAGUGAGGUCGCCGAUGGCGGAGGGGAUUUGGCCAGGGAGGUCGGCGGCGAAUAAGAAGAGGGAGAUGACGCGGUGGGUCUUGCGGUGGCACUUGAGGCCGUACCAGUAGCAGCAGUCGGUGUCCGGGUUCCAGGAGGGGAGGAGGUAGGGGCUGUCGAGGGAGAACUUUAUGCGGAGGAGGACCUCCUUGUCCUCGGGGUGGCAGAGGAUGGCGGAGGCGGGGCGGAGGAGGAAGGAGAGGAGGGGCAGGACGAGCAGGAGGAGGCGGGCCAGAGACAUUGUUGAAGGUAGUGGUGGAGAGUUGUAUUUUAUAGGAGGAAGUCGUGUGUGGCAACUGGGGGAAGGUUUGCUGGAUUUGGACUCAUUUAAGACGAGAAAAUAUUAGGUAGGAAACACUACCCGUAGGCAAAGUGGAAAACCAUACAAAAUUGACACGUGUCGUCCACGUCAGCAAUUCAAAAUUUGGCUCUCCCUCUUCCUCUGUCCUCUCUUCAAUAGACUCUGGCCCAUCUCUCUCAACACGCUCUGAUGCUCUCUCUCCUAUGCUGUCCUUUGACAGCGAAUUGGCCAGCAAGGGCGUUCCGCAGAGGAAAGAGAGACAGGGUGGAGCGGAGGUCGCGAGAGGGAGGCAAAGGGGCAUUGGCAUCGGCGUUGGGGGCGAAGGCGGAGGCGCGUCGGCAUCGUGCUUCGCUGGAAGAGAGGCACGACUUCGCGAAGGGGGGAGAGGGAGAGAGAGAGCGGAGCGGAGGUCGUGAGAGGGAGGCGAAGGAGCGUCGGCGGCGUCGGCGGUAGGGUCGAGGGCGACGGAGGCAACCGGUGGAGGCAAAGGCGGAGGGGUUGAACCUUUGUUUUUUUUUUCUCUGAACCCUCCGCGAUUUUGUUCUCACUGCAACGAAGCGGAGGAGAGGGAGAGACAGGAGAGGGAGGAGGGAGACGGUCUGCAGAGGAGAGCAGAGGAGAGAGAGCGUCAGAGUGUGUGCAGAGAGGUGAGAAAAUAUUGAUUGGGUGGUCCGGGACCACCCAAUAUUUUCGAAGAACAAAGGAGAGGGGAGAGCAAAAAUUGUUGAGAGUGGGACCCGAAUUACACGUGGACGACGCGUGUCGACUUUUGUAUGGUUUUCCAUUUCACCUACGAUGAUGAGUGUUUCACCUACCUAAUAUUUUCUCCAUUUAAGACUAUUUCUACUUCUAAUUCUAUAAUUUCUUUUAUAUAUAUAUAUAUAUAUAUAUAUAUAUAUUAUAUAUCUCUUCGCAAAUAAUUUUUCUAAAAUGCAAAGUAUACGCUCUUUUCCCAUUCUUUUGAAGAAUUGCUGGUGGAAUUACUGCUCUAUAAUUUAAGAAUGCAAAUCCUUAGCAAUAAUUAAGAGUAAAUUAUAUUAGUGGGCCCACGCGCUAACGCGACUUUGAAGUAAGAGCCAUUUUGGAUAUGAGAACCCCAUCUUGCUCAUGAUGUCUCAAAACACUUUGGAUUCAUUUUGCCAAGCAUGGAAAUUCAUCUCAAUAUCAUCACCCAUUCUUAUAUCCUUAUUUGUUUUGUUUAUUUCAUUCAUGCUAAAUUACAUUCACGAUAGAUAGAAAGAACACAAAUUUUUUAUCAUUUCGGUCUAGGAAAGGAAAAAGUCUUUUGUUAUUGAAAGAGAACUUUGAUUUGAUUAAAGUACAAAGAAGUCCAGAUAUAGCAAAAGGUUUACUGACUUAAUAUAAGUGAAGAUACACACAUAAUGACAAAAUCAACUAAAAGUGUAUAUACAAAUGGUUGAUGGAGAUAAUUAUUCAAAAAGUUCUAAAUUUAUUAUACAUCGAUUAAUUCAGUCUUAAAUUUUUUAUUGAUUUGUCAAUUUAAUCUUAAACUUUUUUACUGUAUUAAUUAAGUCUUAAAUCUUAUGAAAUUUUAUUUAUUUAGUCUUGAACUUAUUAUGUAGAUAAUUAGUUGAAAAUAUUAUAUUGACAAAUUGUUUUUUUUUUUAUGACUCAAGGAAAUCCGUAAACUGACAGCCGGCGGGUAAACCCUGAGGCCCACGGAGGAAACCACUACUCUCGUGAAAUGGGUAAGUUCACUUGUAACGUGCUAAGGAUUCGAACUUCUCCCAUUCGUAAGGGGGAAAAAACCCGAAACCAAUAGGGCCACUCAGUGCAAUGGUAAUAAUGACAAAUUGUUGAUACGUUUAGAUUGAACAAUUUUUCCAUAGUCGGCGCUACUUGGAACGGUCAAGAACGAAAGCUAUCUCUCCUUCAACCUUAUUUACGGAUGCCAUGUUCAUUCCUCCAUGUGGCUCGGCAUAUGCGAAGCGGCCAGUGAAGGAGGCCUACGCUGGCAUUUAAAGAUUUGUCCAUAGUUGACUGUCGAAAGGGGCCUGGGACUACUCUUUCAAGGGAUCAUCCCCUGAUUUGCGUUACUGUGGCUAGGCCCGAUCCGUUCCCAUCGUCUUGAUGAUCUAGUCGGAUUGAAUUAAGAAAUUGCUUGUUUUUUCAUGACACUGUUGGUUUAGGAAUCUGUUUUCAGCACCCCUGGGGGUUGCAUGCUGCAAAUCAAAUGCUCUAGAAUGUCCUGGAUAACCUCUAGCAGAUUGGGUCAAUCGUAAAUUACAAGUACGGCAUUGACAAGUUAUUCAAAUAUUAGAUAUCGUAAUCACUUCCGUUAUAUAAAAUAAGUUCCAUUGCUUGUUGAGUAAAAUUGUCGACCCAGGAACGGGUGAGAGAAGUCCACAAGUGUAUUGUUCCAAGAUUUGGCGCGUGACUAAGAAACAUAGAAUUUGGAAAGAAAAUCUUUUCCUUUGAAAAAUGAAGUCAAAGUUACGCGAAAUCAAAUUAAUAGACAUCAUUUGCGUAGAUUCCCAUUUAGAGAACACAAAGAAAUCAACCAUAGGAAGAACCUGCAUAUAUCACGUGUCCUCAAAUCUAUGUUUGGAACUUUUAAAGGUUGCAUAUAAAAUUUGCUUGCUCAUUCCUUCCAAUCUGUGGGAUUUGUAGGUGUGAACUUCAAUUUGUGUCUAGUGGGUAUUAGUAUCAUCAUAUAAGCAAUGCGUUCUAGUUGGAUUUCCUGGACAACGACUCAUUCCAACUUCGGGCCUAGGGCUAUUUCCUCGGACAGAUUUCUCCAAUUCAAUCCAAAUUGAAAAGGGGCAAAUUCCUCUGCUUCGGUUGGAAGGGGAGUAUGUGUAAACUCCCUAUAUUACAUUGGCAAUUUGGCAUCAAUGUCGGGUCCAAAGUGAGAAUAAGAAAAAAAAUGAAGCGUAAGUAAUUCACUUGUAAAAUGCAUCACAAUAUUUUUAACCACACAUACCAUUAUCAACACAAGUUAGUAAAUGAUUUGUCCGGACUAUGUAAAAAUAGAUAUGGAAAAUGGAAUAUCAUCAUUUUAUUAUUUUUUUUUAUGGUAUAUCAUAAUUGACAAUAAGGUUAUUCUCAUAAAAUUCAAUGUGCCCGAUUCACGAACGAUAUAAUUCAAAUGCUUACCUAAUUUCUAAGGGCAUUUUAAAAGUAAUCUUCUCUUUCAAGGAAAAAGUAAAAAUAUUGUCAUCCAGCCAGGGAGCUGUAAAAUUUCUUGAGAUUAGGGUCGGGAUUAAGUCAAGCACGAUCCAUCGGUACAACAGCAGGGAUUGUGGAGUUCACUUGGUCAAAUGGACAUCCAAGUGAGCCCAAGGCAAAGCAUAUGCUCUAAUCUCUAAUUUGGGAUUAACAAGAAAAUAUUGUUGUACUAUCCAUUCCCGAGCGAUUGCGGGACUUCUGUGACGGUCACGCUUCGUCCUGUGCUGGGCACUGCGCGGCGCGUGGGUGUUCGGACGACGUUGGGAUGUGGAGGGACCAGCUGAACGAGAUGAUAAUAUCGACCCAAGGCGGGGUCCGGAAACGACAGGAGAAAGUUGUCUGGUCUGUGGAGAGGAAGAGCUUUGAGUGGGGAAGCACCAAAACAGCACCACUGAACCAAAAAAGGAAAAUCUCGUCCAAAAAAAAAAAAAACCAAAAAAGGAAAAGAAUCAGGCUGAUAUCGAUAAUGGAUAAGGAUAUUACGGGGGCCCACCGAGCAACUUGUAUGGCAGAACCUUCUUUCGCAAAAUGAGAAAAUAAAGGAAGCACACGUUUGACCAAGGACUCAACUUACCUUAUUGAGAAAAUAUCGGCUGAAGCUGUCAUCUCAGCAAAAAACGAGUCCAUUUAUUUUACGACACGUGUCAUCAAAGGCCCCGCAAGUCAGUCUCUGUCUCCCCUUCUCUUCCUCCCUCACCCUCUCUUCUCUCUCUGCACGUCUUCCCCUUUCUCUCUCUCCUCCGCCUGACCCCUUUUCUCCUCUGUUUUUAUAUAUAUAUAAAUAUCGGGAUUCAAUAGGCAGCUCCUUUUCUUUUUCUGAUAAAAUCAUGGUUAUUGAAAUAACGCAAGUUUACAAACUGAUCCGCUCAAAUCUUAAAGAUCGGCUAGGCUCAGUUCUGUUUUUCACUUGCAGCUAUCAAGAGGAGCACCGCACAAGCACCGGUUGUGGAAGUACGCCGUGUAAUCGAAGCUCUGCAACCGCCCGCCCACCGGAAUCUCCCCGCACAGCCGGUUGUAGCUCACGUUCAGGAACUGGAGUUCCAGACCCGCCACGGCCUUCGGAAUCGACCCGUAUAUCUUAUUAUGGUUCAUGUACAGGUACAGCCACCACAGGCUCUCGUUAAACUCCACCGUCGACAGAUCGAACUCGAACUGGUUCCUCGAGAUGUCGAUGUCGCUUGUCCUCUUGCUCCCCCCGAACAGCAGCGACGCGUCCCCCUGAAGCCUGUUACGGGAAAGGUCAAGCUUCCCGAAGUCGACGCCGGCGAAGGUCGCCGGGAGCUCGCCGGAGAGGCUGUUGUGGGAGAGGAUGAGGUAGAGGUUAUUACCCUUGAGGUUGGCAAGGGAAGCCGGUAUCUUCCCGGUGAGCUGGUUACGGUCGAGGCCGAUGUAGCCAAGGCCGGGGAUGGUGGAGAGGGAGUCGGGGAUGCUGCCGGUGAGCUUGUUGAAGGAGAGGUCGAGGUGGGUGAGGUUCUUGAGCUGGCCGAGGAAGGAGGGGAUUGGGCCGGUGAGAUUGAGCCAGCUGAGAGUCAGGAAAUUCAGGUACUUGAGCUUGGUAAAGGACUCUGGGAUCGGGCCGGUGAAGUUGGAGAUCUUGUGGAGGGUGAGGUCUUGGAG